rnacentral:rRNA from 1 species
CAAUAGCGUAUAUUAAAGUUGUUGCAGUUAAAAAGCUCGUAGUUGAAUUUUUGCUUGCCGCCGAUGUCGGAACUUCCGUACGUUCGGCGGCGUGCAUCCUUGGGUGGAACCUGUGUGGCAUUAGGUUGUCGUGCAGGGGAUGCUCAUCGUUUACUGUGAAAAAAUUAGAGUGUUCAAAGCAGGCUUAUGCCGUUGAAUAUAUUAGCAUGGAAUAAUAAGAUAGGACCUUGGUACUAUUUUGUUGGUUUGCGCACCGAGGUAAUGAUUAACAGGGACAGUUGGGGGUAUUCGGAUUCCAUUGUCAGAGGUGAAAUUCUUGGAUUUCUGGAAGACGAACUACUGCGAAAGCAUUUACCAAGGAUGUUUUCAUUA